rnacentral:rRNA from 1 species
GUACACUCCUGCGGGAGGCAGCAGUGGGGAAUUUUGGACAAUGGGCGAAAGCCUGAUCCAGCAAUGCCGCGUGCAGGAUGAAGGCCUUCGGGUUGUAAACUGCUUUUGUACGGAACGAAAAAGCUCCUUCUAAUACAGGGGGCCCAUGACGGUACCGUAAGAAUAAGCACCGGCUAACUACGUGCCAGCAGCCGCGGUACUACGUAGGGUGCGAGCGUUACUCGGAAUUACUGGGCGUAAAGCGUGCGCAGGCGGUUAUGUAAGACAGAUGUGAAAUCCCCGGGCUCAACCUGGGAACUGCAUGUGUGACUGCAUGGCUAGAGUACGGUAGAGGGGGAUGGAAUUCCGCGUGUAGCAGUGAAAUGCGUAGAUAUGCGGAGGAACACCGAUGGCGAAGGCAAUCCCCUGGACCUGUACUGACGCUCAUGCACGAAAGCGUGGGGAGCAAACAGGAUUAGAAACCCUUGUAGUCCCAUGAU